AAUUAAAAUAAUUAUUUAAAAACUUUAACACACACACACACAUAUGCGCAGACACACAUACUAUAAACGUACCCAGGCAAACAGAAUUAUAAACACAAGAUAAAAAAGAUACACACGAAUAUCAAAGAGACAUAUAUAAAAUUAAACGUACACAACAAAAAGUCUCUUAAGCAGUUUCGAUGUUCUCGCAUAUUUUCAGUAAAAUAUAUAAAUCGGAUCGACAGACAAACGUGCCGAACAGAGCUUUAUAGCGAAUAUUACUUGGAAAAUACGUCACUCUUUAUCAUUUUGCAUCCUGUUCCUUAGUGCAAUUGAAGCCAGGAGAGAUCAACAAUAUAAAUACUGAUUCUGCGGCAUCCGGCGCUCGCGUCGUUUUUCGCCACCCGUGCGGUGCUGCCAUCGCACCACAUAGGGUGAUCCUUUUGCGCGCACUUCCAGGAGUGCGAACGACAAGACGUAUAUUGCGGAACGUGAACACUUAGAGUUACUUCUCGCGCGUGACUGGAAUCACAUUUUCUCGUGAAACACAAUUGGUGAUAGUAAAAGGAACAUCAUAUCGACGAUGGCAGAAAAAAACGAGCAUUGGAUAAUGAGAUUUUUGGAAUGAAAAGUAAAAUUGCAGAAUGUAAAUUAUGUGACUAUAAGACAUCACUAUUUGAAUCCGUAGAACCUAUGCGCAUUCAUUUAAUUAAUAUACAUAACUCUGACUGGAAAGAAUCUAUGAGCCGAUCAACUAUCUCGUGGUCUCAUUUGAUUCGGCGUUACUUUUACAUAAGCGAUGAUGGCUAUGCAAAAUGUCUUAAAGAAGAUUGUCAACAAAUGUAUAAUUUUGAUCCAAUUAAGAUGCUAGAAAUGCAACUACAUUUUGUACGAACCCAUAUAAAAACUGGCAAUAUAAACAUAGAUAAAUGGAUAAGACCAUAUUAUAAAAUAAUUUACCGUAACAGCAGGAAUAGACCAUUAGAGAAACAAUGCAAAGAACCUAAUUGCAAUUGGGUACAACACGCAUACAUGCCGUAUGCAUGUUUAUUUGAACAUUUGGUUUUUGACCAUAAAUUUAUUCCUCAUCAAUCAAUAAGGACGGGAAGAGAAGAUGCAAAAAAAUUCGUUUUACCAGAACGCCAUGAAGAAGAUUCAUGAAAAGUUCAACAACAUGGAUGCAGUUUCGAAAGAAAUAAAACUAACGUAUUAUCAUGGACAUGGACAAUCAAAUGAAAUAAGAAAUUCAUAUCUUGAUUUUAUCGCUUUAUC